rnacentral:rRNA from 1 species
CAAAAGCGUAUAUUAAAGUUGUUGCAGUUAAAAAGCUCGUAGUUGAACCUUGGGCUUGGCUGGCCGAUCCAUCUUUUUUGAUGCGUACUGGACCCAGCCGAGCCUUUCCUUCUGGCUAGCCUUUUGGCGAACCAGGACUUUUACUUUGAAAAAAUUAGAGUGUUCAAAGCAGGCCUUUGCUCGAAUAUAUUAGCAUGGAAUAAUAGAAUAGGACGUUAUGGUUCUAUUUUGUUGGUUUCUAGGACCAUCGUAAUGAUUAAUAGGGACGGUCGGGGGUAUCAGUAUUCAGUUGUCAGAGGUGAAAUUCUUGGAUUUACUGAAGACUAACUACUGCGAAAGCAUUUACCAAGGACGUUUUCAUUAA